GGGUGAGCAUCUUAGAAAUCUAUUCUAGGAUUUUGGAGGUGAGAGAAAAUCAAAGAGAAGAGAGUUCUCCUCCCUCUAUACUAGUGUCAGAUCCUUCAUAAGUUUCUACUUCAAAUCUGGAGGAGUCCAAGAUGUCUAAAAAUAGAAGAUAGAUCAGCAAUCCAGAGGUUGUUAUGCGAGCUAGCACUCCUGGGAUGAUGAAUCAGCACAAGACUUCGAGUGAAUCACCCGUAGAGGCCGAACA
rnacentral:lncRNA from 1 species